rnacentral:rRNA from 1 species
GAUGAACGCUAGCUACAGGCUUAACGCAUGCAAGUCGAGGGGAAACGAUAGGGAAAGCUUGCUUUUUCUAGGCGUCGACCGGCGCACGGGUGAGUAACGCGUAUCCAACCUGCCCAUCACUUGGGGAUAACCUUGCGAAAGUAAGACUAAUACCCAAUGACGUCUCUAGAAGACAUCUGAAGGAGAUUAAAGAUUUAUCGGUGAUGGAUGGGGAUGCGUCUGAUUAGCUUGUUGGCGGGGUAACGGCCCACCAAGGCGACGAUCAGUAGGGGUUCUGAGAGGAAGGUCCCCCACAUUGGAACUGAGACACGGUCCAAACUCCUACGGGAGGCAGCAGUGAGGAAUAUUGGUCAAUGGACGAGAGUCUGAACCAGCCAAGUAGCGUGCAGGAAGACGGCCCUAUGGGUUGUAAACUGCUUUUAUAAGGGAAUAAAGUGAGUCUCGUGAGACUUUUUGCAUGUACCUUAUGAAUAAGGACCGGCUAAUUCCGUGCCAGCAGCCGCCGUAA